UGUAGAAGUUAAUUAAGGUGCCAGAUUGUGAUAGUCAUGAACCGAGGGCCAUCACUGUGAUAGUUGUGAGUUGAAGUAAGCUUGGUGCUACCUCUUUUCUUUUGUUUGUUAUUUUCUUUGAAUAAGAGGAUUGAGAAUUUCUGAAUAUUGUGAAGUGAAUUAUGGAAUGGAAAUAUGAUUAGUAUUAUUUGAGAAGAAGAAAGAUUGAAUGCUAAAAUCUGAUUGUGGUUCAGCAGAGAGAAUGAGUCUGUAUUUGUGUGAAACACCAUAAUGUGAAUGACAGUUCUGUGUGAAGAAUUCCAGUGAUUGGAAUGAGGGUAAUUGUGUGCUGAAAGUUGUGAGGGCAUAGUAUUACAGUUGGAAAUUAUGAGGGUAAAUAUAUUGGUGGAAAUAGCAGUUAUUGGUAUGACUGAAUUGCUAUAAGGAAGAGACCGAUAAGGUAAAAGAGGAGAUUAUAGUUUCCUUGUGUGUUCAGAUAUUGAAAAUAGAGACGAUACAUUCAAGAAGUAAUUGAUUGUAUGACCCUAACGUGAACGCUUAAAUAACUAGUCAUUCCCCAUAUUUGAAUCCCCCUAUACGGGUGAAUUUAAACUAUUUGCAAAAAAUAACAAUAAAUCGAAGAGCAUUGACAGCUCGAAAAUUAGAAUAAGAGAAAGUAGAGAUUAUUUUAAAACAAAGUUUAGCAGAACAAGAAAUUCAAUGGCAUCAAGAGGACCAACCAUUCCGAUUGCAGUACAAAUGGGUACAAUAGGCGAUCGUACGACUAGUGUCGCACCACUACCUACUUUUUGGGGAUUUUCGAGUCGAAAUCUUAAUCAACAUUUGUCUCAGUUUCUUACAGCAUGUGUAGCUAAUAAUGGCAAAACUGAAGAUAUUUGGUUACAAUGGUUGCCAGCGACCUUAAAAGACACGGCGUUUGAAUGGUACAACUGCCAAUCAGUGGGUUAAUUUUUGAAUUGGGAAGCAUUGAAGAAUGUAUUUUUAUCUCAUUUUUGGCCAAUUGGUUUUGAGGACCACCUUCGAGAGAGGUUAAUAAAUAGCAAAAUGAUCCUAGGGGAGGCAAUAGAAUCGUACUAUGGCCGAGUGGCUGAUAUACUCAGUAAGUGGCCGAAUCACCAAAUAUCAGAGGCAUUUAUCUUAUCCAUAUUAAUCAAUGGUUUACACCCACCAGACCUAAAAAUGUUUAUAAAGAAAGCUCAAACCAUUACGAUAGCUGCGUCCUUUAAUAGAGCCAAGGUUUGGGAGGAAUGCCAUUAUGAUCAGUUUUUAACUACGGGAGCUACGAUGAUUUAGUUCAAGGUAGAUAUCAAAAUCUGACUUAGAACAAAUCAAUGGAUAGUUAUCCACGGAUGUUAGAAACAGAGGCCAAUUCCAAUAUCAAUAUUCAAGGGCCAGUUAAUGUCACCUCAUUGCAAGCUAUACCACCGAACGUGACAACAACGUAUGCUCCAUAUUUUUCGUAUCAACAACAAGUAUUAACUACAACAGAGAUACCAGUAAUGUCAGCCGUUAAAGAUUCUAAUGAAACCUUGUUAUUGAAUUUGACGAAGAAAAUGUAAGAAAUGGCCGUCAAUAUGGCCAAAGAUAAGGAGAAGAGGCAAAAGCCUACCAAUACUAGAACCAAUGUAUGGUGCAAUAAUUGUAAGGGCCAGAGGUCAUUCUGUAACAGAAUGCCCCUCACCCUCACAAAUAAUGGGUCAAUGUACAUUUUACAGAGGAAAGCACCUAACAGUAAAUUGUUGGAAUUGGCAAAGAUAACAACAACAAUUUAGUAAUUAGACCAUGAUUCCACCAAUCUAGUGGGACGUCAAUCAAGUGUAAAUGAGAAAUACGUUUGGAUGGAAUAGAAAUCAAUUUAAUCGACAAAAUCGAGCAUUCAAUAACUUUUAAAGUUUCAAUUUUAAUCAGGGGUCUGCAUCGAAUCCCUAGAACUAUGGUAAGGAGUAGUAGAGGUAUCAGCAAUAUGUUCCACCGACGUCAUCAAACCAAGUUCCUUCAGUACCAAUAAAACAACCAGGAUCAUUUUUUAACCCUACAUGGAACAAGCCUAGUAAGUAUAUACCAGUGGAGGCACCCAAUAUGCCUGAUGGGGGUGCAAAAAGACCACUUUGUUGUUUCUGUUGUAGACAGAUUGGUCAUUAUGCCAAUCAAUGUCCCAAUCCCAAAGCCAGUGACGAUUAUGCACCAGUUUGUGGGAAUUAUAAGCAGUCAGGGCAUACGUAUUAGCAAUGUAAUGCUCCGUUCAAUGUCAAUAAUCGGGAUCAGCAAAUCGAAAGCCAAGGAAAAUUUGAGGAGAUAAAUCGAGGUCCUCAAGAUUCUCUGAUAAAUCGGGUGGAAUGUGUUCAAGCCGUUCUUAUCCGGAGUCAACAAAAGAAAAAAUGACCAAUUCAAUAUUUGAGUAAUCCCGAUGCGAAAGACUAAUUCGACCCAAUUAGAGAACCAUCCAAUCUAGGUCCUGUUACGGACUUCGUACCUAGCAUGAGACGUAACUCGGUGGUACAAUCCAAUGAGGUCUCAAUUACAGAGGCUUCGAUUCCGUUCCAAGCAAUUCUGAUCUCUAUGCAGUUCCGAGAAACAUCCUAUCUGUUGAAAGAUCCUCUCAGAGGCAGGAAUUUCAAGGAAGCCCCGGCUGCUAUUCCAAUUCCGAGUCCAAGGCGGAAGAAUAUCUUACCUCAUGGAGUUAAACUCAAACCAAUGAAAAAAAAAAAGAGCAUUAGAAAUUACUCUAAAUAUGGAAUCCUACGACAUUCUGAAGGAUUUGGAUGUUAUUCAGCCUUCAAUUACAAUGAAGCAACUUUUAGCUAUAGCACUAGAAUGUCGAUCUACAUUGAGUUUAGCGUGAAUACGACAAAGAUCCUAUAGUAAAGAAAUUCAUGAAGUUAGCUUAAACCCAGAUCCAGAAGCACCAACAAUCGAUGUAUCAAUCAAUGGCAUUUUAAUUCCAGGGGUACAAGUCGAUGGUGGCUCCAGUGUGAAUUUAAUGAACGUGAAUACAAUGGAGGACUUGGAUCUAAAGCAAUUGCUACCUACGACAUUGGUCUUGCGAAUGAUAGAUCAUAGUCAGGUAAAGCCAAUGGGAAUCUUAUACAAUAUUGCCACUGUAAUCGUGGGAUUGACAUACAAAAACAAUUAUAUUGUAUUUCGAUUAUAGAGUUCUAUGUUAUCGUAUCCCAUUUUAUUGGGACGACCCUAGUUUUAUCAAGCAAAAGCUAAGAACGAUUGGGAUCAAGGUACAUUGGCAAUUAGAAAAGGCCGUGACCAAAUUGUUCUACAAAUGUAUCCGGUACAAUAUCAUAGAGAAUCUCAAUUGCUAGAAUCAAAGUUUACAUCGGACAAUGAGAAUUAAUUGAUUGAGGAAGAUGAUGAUACUAUAAGUUCACCGUAAUUUGAGGUAGGACAAAACACUUCAACAGCAAAGGUAAGAGUCUACCAAUGUGGAAGUCCCGGUGAAUAUUUACUGCAUCAGGAGGAUGCAACUAAAUCGGAUCAUGCUAUUGCCAAAUACAUGAAUAAUUCUGCAGUCAAUAGAGUUAGCACAUUGGAACGACAUUUGGGUGGUUCCCAUAUGUCGGAUAAUACAAGAUAUUUAGAUUAGGAGAAGACAAUUAAAUCAGAGAUUGUUGAAGAUCCUAAAUAUCAAUCUAUUAACGUGGGCACCAAAAAAAUGCCACAGCUAAUUAAAAUAUAUGCCGAUAUUAUAGGUACAGAAUUGAAUGCUUGUAAAUAAUUUUUUGUCCAUCACAAAUCUACCUUUGCGUGGUCAUAUGCGGAUUUGAAAGAGAUUCCAAUUGACAUGUGUGAGCACCACAUUAAUUUGAAGGAGGGUAUUAUGCCAGUUUGUCAAAGACAACACUGGCUUAACCCAAAAUAUUCUCUUUUAGUGAAAGAAGAAUUGGAUAACCUUCUCGACAUGGAUUUUAUUUAUCCUGUUCUGCAUAGUGCUUGGGUGUCAUCAAUCAUGAUGGUACCGAAGAAGAAUGGGACAAUCAAGAUAUGUCAAGAUUUUCAAAAGUUAAAUGCAACCACCAAGAAAGAUUACUUCUCAUUACCUUUCACGGACAGUAUGGGUAACAUGUUGUCAUUAUCACCAAGUAGUAAAAGAAUAAGAGUGGGAUAUCAGUUAAAGUCAUUUUGUGGUAUUGUUUUGGGUUGGCUGGAGUGCCAUUUUCUUAUAUUUCUUGUAUUUUUGAGAGUAGUAGUUUUAGUUAAGAAUUAACAGUGAGGACCCGGUCAUAAGUGUCGAUUGAAGAUAUUCCAGAAUAGAUGAGCCAACAGCAACAACAAUUGGAACUUUAGAAUGUCCAGAUCUUAAAAUUGGAAGCUCAAGUCCGUGUAUUGGGUGAGUAUAAUGAAGAUCUUUCAGCUUAGUUGAGGAAGAAAUCAAUAGACUGGAAGAAGAAGAGGAAGAUUUGCAAUUGGAACCAGAUUUGGUCGAACCUACAUUCGAUAAUACAGCAAAUGAUUAAUUAGGUGGAUUAGAAAAACUAGUAACUUUAUGGAGAUUUGUUAAGUAGUUUUUAGAUAGGUAUCAAUUGGGUAUUUACGAGGACGCUAUACAGAUAGGAAUGGAGCUAUGUAGAAUAGAUAUUAAUUUGUUUUUGAAAGAUAUUGAUAAAAUAUAUUAAUAGUCCAUAUAAUAGGAAAUUGAAGAGGACGGAUGAGUGAUUUAGUUCUUAAAAGUAAUUAAUUACAAAAUUACGGUUAGAAUCUGGAGAAUCAGGGGAAAGUAUAUAGGAGUUGUAGAAAUUAAUUAAGGUGCCAGAUUGUGAUAGUCAUGAGCCGAGGGCCAUCACUGUGAUAGUUGUGAGUUGGAAUAAGCUUGGUGCUACCUCUUUUCUUUUGUUUGUUAUUUUCUUUGAAUAAGAGGAUUGAGAGUUUCUGAAUAUUGUGAAGUGAAUUAUGGAAUGGAAAUAUGAUUAGUGUUAUUUGAGAAGAAGAAAGAUUGAAUGCUAAAAUCUGAUUAUAGUUUAGUAGAGAGAAUGAGUCU
rnacentral:lncRNA from 1 species